rnacentral:rRNA from 1 species
UGGGGAAUAUUGCACAAUGGGCGAAAGCCUGAUGCAGCAACGCCGCGUGAGUGAUGAAGGCCUUCGGGCUGUAAAGCUCUGUCUUUUGGGACGAUAAUGACGGUACCAAAGGAGGAAGCCACGGCUAACUACGUGCCAGCAGCCGCGGUAAUACGUAGGUGGCAAGCGUUGUCCGGAUUUACUGGGCGUAAAGGAUGCGUAGGCGGAUUUUUAAGUGAGAUGUGAAAUACCCGGGCUUAACUUGGGUGCUGCAUUUCAAACUGGGAAUCUAGAGUGCGGGAGAGGAGAAUGGAAUUCCUAGUGUAGCGGUGAAAGUGCGUAGAGAUUAGGAAGAACACCAGUGGCGAAGGCGAUUCUCUGGACCGUAACUGACGCUGAGGCAUGAAAGCGUGGGUAGCAAACAGGAUUAGAUACCCUGGUAGUCCACGCCGUAAACGAUGAGUACUAGGUGUAGGAGGUAUCGACCCCUUCUGUGCCGCAGUUAACACAAUCAAGUACUCCGCCUGGGAAGUACGAUCGCAAGAUUAAAA